UACGUAGGGUGCGAGCGUUGUCCGGAAUUAUUGGGCGUAAAGAGCUCGUAGGCGGUCUGUCGCGUCGAUCGUGAAAACUUGGGGCUUAACCCUGAGCUUGCGGUCGAUACGGGCAUGACUGGAGUUCGGCAGGGGAGAGCGGAACUCCUGGUGUAGCGGUGGAAUGCGCAGAUAUCAGGAGGAACACCCGUGGCGAAGGCGGCUUUCUGGACGGUUACUGACGCUGAGACGCGAAAGCGUGGGGAGCAAACAGG
rnacentral:rRNA from 1 species